rnacentral:rRNA from 1 species
AUGGGGAUUCAAGUUAUAACGGCAAACUAUGUAAAUGCCCACUCCCCUAAUACUACUAGGAGAAAUGGAGGAUGGAGCAGACCUCCUAAGGGGUUUGUUAAGUUGAAUGUGGAUGCUCAUGGUCUGCUUAGGGGCACAAUCGGUGUUGUAAUCAGGGAUGACAAAGGAAAAUUCAUUGUUGAAGGAAAUUGGAAGAUUGAUUGGUGUGCUGAUGUUAUGACAGCGAAAGCGUUGGUGCUUAGGUUUGACUUAUUAUUGGCACAAAAGGCAGGCUGCAAUCGUCUCAUGAUUAACUCUGAUAACAUGGAAGUUAUUGACACGAUGAAGAAUAGAUGA